UUGUACAGGGGGAUAACAGUUGGAAACGGCUGCUAAUACCGCAUAAGCGCACAGCAUCGCAUGAUGCAGUGUGAAAAACUCCGGUGGUAUAAGAUGGAUCCGCGUUGGAUUAGCUAGUUGGUGAGGUAACGGCCCACCAAGGCGACGAUCCAUAGCCGACCUGAGAGGGUGACCGGCCACAUUGGGACUGAGACACGGCCCAAACUCCUACGGGAGGCAGCAGUGGGGAAUAUUGCACAAUGGGCGAAAGCCUGAUGCAGCGACGCCGCGUGAGCGAAGAAGUAUUUCGGCAUGUAAAG
rnacentral:rRNA from 1 species